CAAGAAUUCAAACGUUUGUCCUUAAUUAAAGCUCAUUAACUAUUUGUCUCAUGUUCUAAAGGAUCUAUUUAUAUCAUAUCCUAAAUACUACUCCGGCCUCUUUUGUAAGCAAAAAUUUCUUUUUGCACACUUAUUAAGGAGUAUCAUUUUUAUCUUAAUCUUAUUUGAUAUUUCGAUUGAAAUUUCUAAAAUGACAAUACAAUAUAUUAAAUAUAUAUGCAUCGGGACUCUACAAUCAUGUUAAAAAGUAGAACAAUUAAUAAGAGUACUUUUGGAAGAAUAACAUUAAAUGAAAUUGAUUUUGAUAACUUUUGUUUAUAUUUGAGGCCAAAAUAUUUUGUUGACUUUUGUUUAUAAAUAAGGUCGUAGGGAGUAAUAAUUAAAUUCUUGAAUUCUUACUGUAAAAAAAAAAGUUCUUGUAUUCUUCAAAAAAAUAAUAAUUAAGUUCUUGUAAAUUCCACUAAUGAAUGUAAUUAUGAAUAAUAGAAAAAAAUGUGUAUGAUAUUUUAAUGGCUCUUGCUAAUCUGUGUGCUCUAAGGACACAUGUUAAGGAAUUCAAAAGUAGAAUUAUUGUACCAGAAAAUACAACCCUUUAACUUUUGAAAAGUGAAUUACACAACUCUUGAGAAUAAUAUUUUUAUAUUAAGUUGUCUAUCAUGUGCCCUUAGGUAUUUUAGCACUUGCCUAUAUUAAUACUCCUUCGGUCCCUCCGGUCCUAUAUAUAAGAAAAACUUUACUUUUUAGAUUCAUUGUAAAAUUAAUGAAUCUAGACUAUAUUAUUGUCUAGAUUCAUUAAUUUUACAAUAAACCUAGCUAAAACCAAAAUUUUUCUUAUAGGAUCGGAGGGAGUAUUGACAUACCUCAUAUACAUGUUAUGUUAGAUUACUCUGUAUUAUUUCUACUUCCACAUAUUUUUGUUUAAAUCUAAAUUUUCAAAUCCAACAGUGAGAUAAAAUACCCAAGUUUUCAUACAAUAUCUUCAUUUAAAAGCAAUGGUUCGAAUACAUGAACACAAAACAAUGAAUAAUUUAUCUUUAGUUCGGUGAGAAGUGAGAUGAAUAGACAUUUGAAUAUUGUUCAUAUGUGGUUGCAAAAGAAAAACUUGUGGUUCACACAACCUGUAUUAUAACAUAAAAGGUUAAAUAUGUUAUUGGUUGAUUUAAAUAUUUAACCCUAACGUAAAUUACCUAUUUAACCAUAACAUAAAUUACCAAAAGUUUGUAUAUUUAGAAUUAGAAGGACCAAUAAUAUAUUUAACUCUAACAUAAAUUACAACAAUACAAUUAGAUUAUAAGUUAAAGGUCAACCAUGUAGACGAAAUAUAACAUAAAAG
rnacentral:lncRNA from 1 species